rnacentral:rRNA from 1 species
UACGGAGGGAGCUAGCGUUGUUCGGAAUUACUGGGCGUAAAGCGCACGUAGGCGGCUUUGCAAGUUAGAGGUGAAAGCCCAGGGCUUAACCCUGGAAUUGCCUUUAAGACUGCAUCGCUAGAAUCGUGGAGAGGUGAGUGGAAUUCCGAGUGUAGAGGUGAAAUUCGUAGAUAUUCGGAAGAACACCAGUGGCGAAGGCGACUCACUGGACACGUAUUGACGCUGAGGUGCGAAAGCGUGGGGAGCAAACAGG